UACAUGGGGUGCAAACGUUGCUCGGAAUUAUUGGGCGUAAAGCGCGCGUAGGCGGUUACUUAAGUCGGAUGUGAAAGCCCUCGGCUUAACUGAGGAAGUGCACCCGAAACUGAGUAGCUAGAGUACGAAAGAGGGUCGCGGAAUUCCCGGUGUAGAGGUGAAAUUCGUAGAUAUCGGGAGGAACACCGGUGGCGAAGGCGGCGACCUGGGACAAUACUGACGCUGAGGUGCGAAAGCGUGGGGAGCAAACAGG
rnacentral:rRNA from 1 species